AAAUACAACUUUCAGCAACGGAUCUCUUGGCUCUCGCAUCGAUGAAGAACGCAGCGAAAUGCGAUAAGUAAUGUGAAUUGCAGAAUUCAGUGAAUCAUCGAAUCUUUGAACGCACCUUGCGCUCCUUGGUAUUCCGAGGAGCAUGCCUGUUUGAGUG
rnacentral:rRNA from 1 species